AUGGAUAUACUGUACAUGACAUAUGUCCAAAAAUGUAUGGCACUUACACAAACAUGCAUAUUUGUUUGGGCUAGAUAUAUAUAUAUAUGUAAAUAUAUGAAGUUCCACUUUCUAAUAGGUUUCAUACACGUUUUUACCUCAUAUGAUUUUACCUCAAAUUAUUUUCACAUAUGGAAAUUUCAUAUAUGUAUAUAUAUUGUAUUACAUAUAUCAUCAUCAUCAAUCAUUCUGACUUUUACUUUCUUCUUCUUCUUCUUCUUCUUCUUCUUCUUCUUCUUCUUCUUCUUCUCAUCCUCACUGUCCGAUGAAGAGGACGAGCUGCAUGUCGUGGCCUCCUUCGCCCUCGUCAUCAGACACGUGACCGUCGUCCCUGGCAGCGGUCAAACCCGCAGACUCCACAGGAAGUGCUGCACAGGACAGGAAGUUGCUUUCAUGAGUCAUGUGACCACCAUUAGAGCUUUGAAAUAACAGUUGUCUGUUCGGAGGAAAAACAGGGUCCUCACACGCAGUGCACUUUUUAAUAAUAUUUUUAAUUCGUUUUUAUUUUUGUAUUUUCCAUUUUUAUUUUAGUUAAAAUUGUAUACAUUUUUUUUUUUAUUAGUAAUUGUUUAUUUUUUAGAUAUAUUUCUGAAUCAUUUUUAUUUUUUAUUUCAG
rnacentral:lncRNA from 1 species